AAGUCGUAACAAGGUUUCCGUAGGUGAACCUGCGGAAGGAUCAUUACAGAAUAAACCUGGCUUGGUUGUUGCUGGCUCUCUCGGGAGCAUGUGCACGCCAGUCACUUUUAUCUUACCACCUGUGAACACUUUGUAGAUCUGGAGGCAUCUUCACAGACUAUUUUGUCUGUGGUUUUUGGAAGUGUUCCGACUCUUCCUGGCCUUCAGGUUUAUGUCUUUACAUCUACACCAUAAGCAUGUAAACGAAUGAAUCAAUGGCAGCUUCAUUGCAGCCUAUAAAACUUAAACAACUUUCAGCAACGGAUCUCUUGGCUCUC
rnacentral:misc_RNA from 1 species